rnacentral:rRNA from 1 species
GACGAACGCUGGCGGCGUGCCUAAUACAUGCAAGUCGAGCGGACUUUCAAGAAGCUUGCUUUUUGAAAGUUAGCGGCGGACGGGUGAGUAACACGUGGGCAACCUGCCUGCAAGACGGGGAUAACUCCGGGAAACCGGGGCUAAUACCGGAUAAUAUCUUCCUUCGCAUGAAGGAAGGUUGAAAGGCGGCGCAAGCUGCCGCUUGCAGAUGGGCCCGCGGCGCAUUAGCUAGUUGGUGAGGUAACGGCUCACCAAGGCGACGAUGCGUAGCCGACCUGAGAGGGUGAUCGGCCACACUGGGACUGAGACACGGCCCAGACUCCUACGGGAGGCAGCAGUAGGGAAUCUUCCGAAAUGGACGAAAGUCUGACGGAGCAACGCCGCGUGAGCGAAGAAGGUCUUCGGAUCGUAAAGCUCUGUUGUCAGGGAAGAACAAGUACCGUUCGAACAGGGCGGUACCUUGACGGUACCUGACCAGAAAGCCACGGCUAACUACGUG